rnacentral:tRNA from 1 species
GCGGGAGUAGCUCAAUGGGAGAGCGCGAGCCUUCCAAGCUUGAGACGCGGGUUCGAUUCCCGUCUCCCGCUCCA